AUCUGUUGGAGUUGUGGUUAGUGCGCUUGGCUGAGGAUCAGGGUGAUGCGGGUUCGAUUCCCUCACCAGAUG